AGAGUUUGAUCCUGGCUCAGGACGAACGCUGGUGGUGUGCCUAAUACAUGCAAGUCGAGCGAGCUUGCCUAGAUGAUUUUAGUGCUUGCACUAAAUGAAACUAGAUACAAGCGAGCGGCGGACGGGUGAGUCACACGCUGGGUAACCUGCCCAAGAGACUGGGAUAACACCUGGAAACAGAUGCUAAUACCGGAUAACAACUCUAGACUCAUGUCUAGAGUUUGAAAGAUGGUUCUGCUAUCACUCUUGGAUGGACCUGCGGUGCAUUAACUAUAUGGUAAGGUAACUGCUUACCAAGGCAAUGAUGCAUAGCCGAGUUGAGAGACUGAUCGGCCACUUUGGGACUGAGACACGGCUCCAACUCCUACGGGAGGCAGCAGUAGGGAAUCUUCCACAAUGGACAAAAGUCUGAUGGAGCAACGCCGCGUGAGUGGAAGAAGGGUUUCGAGAUCGUAAAGUUCUGUUGGUAGUGUCAGAAAGAUUAGAGGUAAUAACUGGCGUUUAUUUGAUGGUAAUUAAAUAGAAAGUCUCGGCUAACUACGGUGCCCGCAAGCCCACGGUAAUAAGUAGGUGGCAAAGCGUUGUCCGGAUUUAUAUGGAGGGAAAAGGGAGGGCGGGCGGUUCCAAUAAGUUUAAUUGAAAAACCUUCAGCUCAACCGGAGGAAUGGCUUCAGAAACUUUUUGAACUUGAGUGCAGAAAGGGGAAAGUGGAACUCCAUGUGUAGCGGGUGGAAUGCGUAGAUAUAUGGAAGAACACCAGUGGCGAAGGCGGCUUUCUGGUCUGCAACUGACGCUGAGGCUCGAAAGCAUGGGUAGCGAACAGGAUUAGAUACCCUGGUAGUCCAUGCCGUAACCGAUGAGUGCUAAGUGUUGGGAGGUUUCCGCCUCUCAGUGCUGCAGCUAACGCAUUAAGCACUCCGCCUGGGGAGUACGACCGCAAGGUUGAAACUCAAAGGAAUUGACGGGGGCCCGCACAAGCGGUGGAGCAUGUGGUUUAAUUCGAAGCAACGCGAAGAACCUUACCAGGUCUUGACAUCCAGUGCAAACCUAAGAGAUUAGGUGUUCCCUUCGGGGACGCUGAGACAGGUGGUGCAUGGCUGUCGUCAGCUCGUGUCGUGAGAUGUUGGGUUAAGUCCCGCAACGAGCGCAACCCUUGUCAUUAGUUGCCAUCAUUAAGUUGGGCACUCUAAUGAGACUGCCGGUGACAAACCGGAGGAAGGUGGGGAUGACGUCAAGUCAUCAUGCCCCUUAUGACCUGGGCUACACACGUGCUACAAUGGACGGUACAACGAGAAGCGAACCUGCGAAGGCAAGCGGAUCUCUUAAAGCCGUUCUCAGUUCGGACUGUAGGCUGCAACUCGCCUACACGAAGCUGGAAUCGCUAGUAAUCGCGGAUCAGCACGCCGCGGUGAAUACGUUCCCGGGCCUUGCACACACCGCCCGUCA
rnacentral:rRNA from 1 species